CUUCAACGAGCCGAGCCACAGGGGCCGGUCCUCCGGCCGGUCCUGCCCGUAUGUGGCGAGCAGGGCCUGGGCCUC
rfam:Streptomyces ipomoeae 91-03 gcontig_1108499708047, whole genome shotgun sequence.